rnacentral:rRNA from 1 species
CAGCAGCCGCGGUAAUACGGAGGGUGCAAGCGUUAAUCGGAAUUACUGGGCGUAAAGCGCACGCAGGCGGUCUGACAAGUCAGAUGUGAAAUCCCCGGGCUUAACCUGGGAACUGCAUUUGAAACUGUCAGGCUGGAGUCUUGUAGAGGGGGGUGGAAUUCCAGGUGUAGCGGUAAAAUGCGUAGAGAUCUGGAGGAAUACCGGUGGCGAAGGCGGCCCCCUGGACGAAGACUGACGCUCAGGUGCGAAAGCGUGGGGAGCAAACAGGAUUAGAUACCCCGGUAGUCCCUGUCUCUUAUAC